CGGAGCACGCGCGCCGCGCGCGCAAUAGCCGCUUACGAUUUUCGCGCGCAGUGAAAAAAAAAGUUAAAAAAGUCUAUGAUUAAUAUUGAAUUAGUGCGGUAACGUGUUACGUUCCAUGGUCAGUGCUUUUUGUGUUUUUUUUUCACGUCCAUUGUGUGAUCUCGACGUUGUGUUUGUGAUGCCAAUCUGUCAUUUUCGACUCGAUGCGAUUAAAGAUAACGCUAAUUAACGAAUUGGUGUUGGUUUUGUGUUGGAUAAAUGCGGUGAAGUGGAUGCUGGAUGUGUUUGAAUUAACUAUUGCAUUAAGCACAGACAGGGCGUGGUGUGAUAGAUCCACCACACAUGUCCCCAAAACAUGAUACCGAUGAUAGUGCGAGUGUGGUGCGAAAGCGGCGCGGGUUGGUCGGCCACGCACGUGCCCGUAACGCCUCAGAGCACCUGUCUCGAUGUGUUGGAGUGCUGCCGCGAGCCUGGUGAAGAGCCCUGUCUGUUGCUCGCACUGCAUCCCCAAC